UCAUUGUGGGGGUUAUUGUAAUUAGCGUUGCUUGAUUAAGUGCAACGUAAUUUGAAUGAUUUCUAAUACUUUAUAUGAACAUUUAUUAAAUCUUAUCAAUAUACAUAAAAAUCUAAAAAAAUAUAUAAAGUCCAAAAUGAUUAAAUAAAUUGAAUAACUCCUUAAACUACAAAUAUUUGCACCAUAAACUUAAUAUGACUAUUAUGGACGGUGUAUUGCCACUUUUGCUUUAAUGCCUUAGAAAUUUGGACGGCUCUGUCUACUUUAUAUAUUAUAUACACACAGUUAAAGUACACCAUUGAAAGUUGCUCUUCUGAUUAGCAAUCACAAGUGUUUUCUAUCUUUGUAGUUGACUUACAGAUCAGGUGUUUUACUGAGCCCUGCACAACCAAUCACGACUUCUGUUCAAUUGAGACGGGUGAAAUUAAUCAAAAGAGCCUGACAAGUCAAGCGAGAUGGAUCGGAUGUUUAAUUGAGCCUGGUGAACCAAUCAAGACAAAUCUGAUCUUUAAUGUUUGAGUGGGCAUGUUGAUUCAAACAAGUCGGAUCUAAUGUUUAUUUUAGCCUGGUGAAUUAAUCAAGAAAUAUCCGAAUGUUAAUUCAGCUCGUUGAAUCAAUCAAGACGGAUCUAAUGGUUAACUGAGCCCGGUGAAUCAUUCAAAACAGAUCUGAUGGUUUAUUGAGCC
rnacentral:lncRNA from 1 species